rnacentral:rRNA from 1 species
CGAACGGGUAGAGGUAACGCGUGGGGAAUCUGCCUUUGAGCGGGGGACAACAUUUGGAAACGAAUGCUAAUACCGCAUAAAAACUUUAAACACAAGUUUUAAGUUUGAAAGAUGCAAUUGCAUCACUCAAAGAUGAUCCCGCGUUGUAUUAGCUAGUUGGUGAGGUAAAGGCUCACCAAGGCGAUGAUACAUAGCCGACCUGAGAGGGUGAUCGGCCACAUUGGGACUGAGACACGGCCCAAACUCCUACGGAAGGCAGCAG